rnacentral:rRNA from 1 species
AUUGAACGCUGGCGGCAUGCUUUACACAUGCAAGUCGAACGGCAGCACGGGGGCAACCCUGGUGGCGAGUGGCGAACGGGUGAGUAAUGCAUCGGAACGUGCCCUGUCGUGGGGGAUAACACAUCGAAAGAUGUGCUAAUACCGCAUACGACCUGAGGGUGAAAGCGGGGGACCGUAAGGCCUCGCGCGAUAGGAGCGGCCGAUGUCUGAUUAUCUAGUUGGUGGGGUAGAGGCCUACCAAGGCGACGAUCAGUAGCUGGUCUGAGAGGACGAACCGGCAGCCGGGGACUGAGAAGCAGCCCAGACGCCUACGGGAGGAAGCAGUGGGGAAUUUUGGACAAUGGGGGCAACCCUGAUCCAGCCCUGCCGCGUGCGGGAAGAAGUCCUUCGGGUUGUAAACCGCUUUUGGCAGGAACGAAGCGGUGCGGGCGAAUACCCUGUGCUAAUGACGGUACCUGCAGAAUAAGCACCGGCUAACUACGUGCCAGCCGCCGCAGUAAGAC